rnacentral:rRNA from 1 species
AUAAAGUUACUAAGGGCGCAUGGUGGAUGCCUUGGCUCUCAGAGGCUAUGAAGGACGUGCUAGGCUGCGAUAAGCAUGGAGGAGGUGUCUAGAACCUUUGAUUCCGUGAUUUCCGAAUGGGGAAACCCUCCCGAUUUAUCGGGACUUUUUUGGCUAACCCGCUGAACUGAAACAUCUAAGUAAGCGGUGGAAAAGAAAAUAAUAAUGAUUUCCUAAGUAGUGGCGAGCGAACAGGAAAUAGCCCAAACCAUAUAUGUUGCGGCAUAUAUGGGGUUGUAGGACUGCAUUUAGAAUAAAACAUUUGAGUUGAAUCACUUGGGAAGGUGAGCCAUAGAGGGUGACAGCCCCGUAAUCGAAGAAUAGUUUAUUUGAGCAGUAUCCUGAGUACCGCGGGGUUGGAGAAGCCUUGCGGGAAUUUGCCGGCACCAUCCGGUAAGGCUAAAUACUCCUGAGAGACCGAUAGUGAACUAGUACCGUGAGGGAAAGGUGAAAAGUAUUUCGAACAGAAAGGUGAAAAGAACCUGAAACCAUGCGCUUACAAGCGGUCGGAGUCCCGCACUUGCGGGAUGACGGCGUGCCUUUUGCAUAAUGAGCCUACGAGUUACUACUUACUGGCAAGAUUAAUCCGCUCAGCGGAGCAGUCGUAGCGAAAGCGAGUCUGAAUAGGGCGAUAAGUCAGUAGGUGUAGACGCGAAACUUUGUGAUCUACCCAUGAGCAGGAUGAAAUUGCCGUAACAGGCAAUGGAGGUCCGAACCAGUUUACGUUGAAAAGUAUUUGGAUGACUUGUGGGUAGGGGUGAAAGGCUAAUCAAACUGAGAGAUAGCUCGUACUCCCCGAAAUGUUUUUAGGAACAGCGUCAGGUAUAAGUUUUAUAGAGGUAGAGCUACUAAUUGGGCAAGGGGGAGUCAAAUCCUACCGAACUCAGAUAAACUCCGAAUACUAUAAAAUGUUUCCUGGCAGUGAGCCCCGGGGUGCUAAGGUCACGGGGCGAGAGGGAAAGAACCCAGAUCAUCAGCUAAGGUCCCUAAAUCUAUUCUAAGUUGAACUAAUGUGGUUUAAUUGCAUUGACAGCUAGGAUGUUUGCUUGGAAGCAGCAAUUCAUUUAAAGAGUGCGUAACAGCUCACUAGUCGAGCGAUUGAGCAUGAAUAAUGAACGGGCAUAAGAAUAGUACCGAAGCUAUGAUCCCGUGUAAACGGGAGGUAGGGGAGCAUUCCAUUAUCAGCGAAGGUGUGGCACGAGCCAUGCUGGAGAUUAUGGAAAAGCAAAUGUAGGCAUAAGUAACGAUAAUAAAGGUGAAAAACCUUUACGCCGAUAGUCUAAGGUUUCCUGAUCAAUGUUAGUCAGAUCAGGGUUAGUCGGGUCCUAAGGCUAACCGAUUUAGGGAAGUCGAUGGAAAGCAGGUUAAUAUUCCUGCACCAGCUGAGAAGGACGGAGAAAUGUGGUAACUACGUAUCUGACGGAAUAGUGCGUUGAGCCUAGCCUUCGGGCAAAGCGAAGUUAUAAAGUUUCUUCCAAGAAAAGUUCCAGCAUUAGCCCGUACCGCAAACCGACACAGGUAGACAAGGAGAGUAUCCUGAGGCGCUCGAGUGAAUCGUGGUUAAGGAACUCGGCAAAUUUACCCUGUAACUUAGGGAGAAGGGGAUCCCGCUUUUGCGGGACGCAGAGAAAUGGUCCAGGCGACUGUUUAGCAAAAACACAUGGAUCUGCUAAAUCGAAAGAUGAUGUAUAGGUCCUGACACCUGCCCGGUGCCGGAAGGUUAAGAGGGGGGGUCAUCUCGCUUGUCGGGAGAAGCCCUGAAUUGAAGAAGCCCCGGUAAACGGCGGCCGUAACUAUAACGGUCCUAAGGUAGCGAAAUUCCUUGUCGGGUAAGUUCCGACCUGCACGAAUGGUGUAACGAUCUGGACGCUGUCUCAACCACGAGCUCGGUGAAAUUGUAGUAUCGGUGAAGAUGCCGGUUAACCGCAACGGGACGGAAAGACCCCAUGCACCUUCACUACAGCUUUGCAUUGGUUUUGGUUAAAUGAUGUGUAGGAUAGGUGGGAGACUUUGAAGCAGUGUCGCUAGGCAUUGUGGAGUCAUUGGUGAAAUACCACCCUUCAUUUAAUUGAAAUCUAAUCCCGUCUUUGCGGGAGACAUUGCAUGGUGGGUAGUUUGACUGGGGUGGUCGCCUCCGAAAUUGUAUCGGAGGCUUUCAAAGGUAUCUUCAGUACGGUCGGUAAUCGUGCGUAGAGUGCAAUAGCAUAAAGAUGCUUGACUGCGAGACCCACAAGUCGAGCAGGGUCGAAAGACGGAUAUAGUGAUCCGGUGGUUCUGUAUGGAAAGGCCAUCGCUCAUAGGAUAAAAGGUACGCUGGGGAUAACAGGCUGAUCUCCCCCAAGAGCUCACAUCGACGGGGAGGUUUGGCACCUCGAUGUCGGCUCGUCACAUCCUGGGGCUGGAGAAGGUCCCAA